GACCGGAAGGAUGGCGAGGAAGUAGGAGAGGGUUUCCUGAGAUGAAAGAUUACUUCCGUCCGGGCUCUGGCCUCUCUCUGGAGCCGGCUCAUUGGGGGCAGGGGAGCGGGGUGAGCGGGACUCGGGGGCCGCGCCUUACCACCUUGCAGCGCCCGCAGCGGGCGGGACGCGCGCGGCCCUGUCGGGGGGCUAACGCGGGGGUAUUCUUGCAGGUGGGAAUCGAGAGCAUUUCCUCGAGCCCAAGCCAUGGUGGCCAAACAGCGGAUCCGGAUGGCCAACGAGAAGCACAGCAAAAACAUCACCCAGAGGGGGAACGUAGCCAAAACCCUGAGGCCACAAGAAGAGAAAUACCCCGUGGGACCAUGGCUGUUGGCACUGUUUGUUUUUGUCGUCUGUGGUUCAGAGGGUCCAGAUGCACAGCCGUCCUGCGUCUGCCCCAGGUGGAUAUAACCUUGACCUAGCCACGGGCUGCUUGCUGACGGGGCCACCCGGCCCUCCAUCACCUUACUCUUUUCUGGACCUUGCUCCAGAACAGAUUUGAAUUCACCAUGUCUGCGGGUCAACCAAUAAACACUGGCCUUUCUUGGACACCUCCAGAACGAUCUGGAAAUUGUGACAACCACUUUGGGUGUGGUUGCAACAUGGCCAUACAGGCCAUGAGACUGACUGGCCAGCAGGGUGUUUGAGAGACAGAGCAGGCCUGGAGGAGACCUUCCGUUUCACCACCGAGGAUGGACUGAGGACAUUCCUCUGCUCAGGAACUCCUGCCUCAGGAUCUGAGAUGGACACUCUGGAAAAGAUGUCUCAUCUGCCACUGGCUCCCACGAGGUGACCUGCGACCUCCCUCAUACUGUGCCGCCCUCUGCCCUGUGCCCCAUGGGGCAUUUGGGUUCGUGUAUGGUCUGCCGCUCAGAAGAGCGUUUCUGCUGUCUGCCAUUUUACUGGGGAUAGAGGGCAUCCCAUUCUUUGCUAAUAAUAUCCCUUCUUUCCACAGUGCCUUUCUGCCCUCAUGUAGCACCCCGGACCCCUCUCCAUCUUCCCUCUUCUCUGUCUCUGGAGAAGCUACCAGGAAAUGCUACUGGGAAUAGUCUCCUGCUUUUGACUCUCUUUGUGCUGACUCUUCUUGAGAGCUUAAUGACUCACCUUUGCAAUGUCUUAUUUCUUGACAUUUCUACUUGUCUUUCACAGAACCUGUAGUUUUUCUUACCAGCUUUUUUUUUCAUUUUUUAAAUGAAAAAUAAUCAAAAUUAUGUCAUUUCUAGAGUUGUCUUAUCCUCCUAAAGAUAUUCUUCUGGCCUGUCUCAAUCUCUCUUCUCAGUAACUCUCUCAAUCUCGCUUGUCAUCAACCUUAUUUUCAAUACAAGUGGACUUCUGAAGCUUCCUGCUAUCUGGCAGUCAGCCCUCUGGCAGCCUCCUCUCUAGCUGUCUGACAGUUUCCUCGGGGAUCCCUUCCUGUCAUCCCCGUGUCCUUCUGGCACUCCCAGUUAGCGGCAGUAGUUCAGUCCCAGGGUAAGAAAGGGUUGGGACUGUGUCAUCCCCACAGUCCCAGGACUUAAGGAGUUUAUGGUCUUUCGUGAUUUUCCUUCCCCUCCAAAGACUGGGCUCUUACAACAUUGGAAUUUAAAAGUAGUCAUUUGAUGUUGACUCUUGGUUCACAAAAUAAUUGUUUGAGGUUUUUAAUAUGUGUUUUCCUCCAUGCUUUUUGCAAUUAUUCACCUUUUGUUCCUCCAGUAAAUAUUCACUGAGGAACUACUAUGUGCCUGGAGCUGAGCUAGGCCCAGAGGUAUAGUCGGGAGCAAAAUCAUCCAAGGUCCCAGGGUGCCUGGUUGGCUGAGUCGGUUAAGCAUCCAACUCUUGGUUUUGGCUCAGGUCAUGAUCUCAGGGUCCUGGGAUCGAGCCCCAUGUCAGGCUUCACCCUCAGCGGGAGUCUGCUUGGGUAUUCUUUCCCCUCUGUAAUCCCCCCACCCUUGCAUUCUCUCUCUCUCAAAUAAAUAAAUAAAUCUUUAAAAAAAAAUCAUCCAAGGUUCCUGCUUUCCUGGAGCUCACAGCCUAGUGGGGAAGCAAGAUGAGUUCACCAAGUGGUCAUGCUGAAACGUGAAAUUUCAGCCAUGACAGUGUUUGAAAGAGAGGCAUGUAAGGCUGUGAAAGCAUAUAACUCAAAGUGCUAGUAUCCUCUGGGUAAGUGGUUCUCCAAGUGGGGUCCCUAGACCAGUAGCCUCAGCAUCACCUGUGACCUGGUUAGAAAUACACAUGCUCAUUUCCCACUCUGGACACACUGGAUUCGAAACUGGGGGUGGGGUCCAGCCUCUGUUUCCACACAUCCUCGGGAGACUAUCGUAAACAUGCAGGUUUGAGAACCCUUGCUUCAGAUGGUCAAAGAAGGCCUCUCUGCAGAUAAAACUUUUGGAUUAGAAAGGAAAACUAGGCAAUAGGGCAGGGUGGGAGAAGUCUUUCAGACAGAAAGCAUGGCAUGUGCAAAAGCCCUGCAGUAAGAGCGGAGAGCUUUUGAAAACACAAGGAAUUACUCCAAGAGAGGAGAGUAAUACAAGAUGCGUCCAGAGAGGUUGAUAGGGCCGGGAUAUGAAGGUCAUGGGGGUCUCGACAAGGAUUGGGCAAUAGGAAGCUUUUGGUGUGCUUUAAACACACGGAUGACACGAUCUUAUUUGUUUUCAUUUAAAGAAUAGUUCUAGCUACAGUAUGGAGCAAGGACCGAAGAGGAGCAAGAGUAGACCUGUUGGAGGGCAUCGCAGGGGUCUGGGGAAAGAUGGCAGGAACUUGCACUAGGGGGGUUGCCGGAGGCAUGGAAAGAAAGGUGCACAAUCGCAAGAUCCUUAGGUAAAGUCCACAGGUCUUGGGGAUCGGUUGGAGGUGUCAAGAAGGACUCUGGCAUUUGGGUUUCCCUGCAAGAUGGAGGAUAAUGAUCCUAAGUUUGGCGGUGGGAAGAGAUCAUGACAAGGUCCUGUUGUGUUUGAAGUGUCUUUGAGCCACCUACGUGUGGAUCUCCGUUAGAUGGUGGAAGGUGUGGGUCUGAAGCUCUGAGGAGAAGUCAGAGCUGGCAGGACACGUAGGCGAGUCAUCAAAAGCUAAGUGGCAACUAAAAUUGUGGGCCAGGGUGAGGUCACCUAGGGAGAAAGAAUGUAGUGAACAGAAGAAAGCCAGAAUGCUCAUCGAGGAGGAACAUUAUGCUUGUUUACUGGUCAGGUGGAUUUAGAAUGACCCCUGUAGAACCCAUGUAGUGUGAAGAGCCAAAGACAAGGGAGAAAACUAGAAGCCAGGGGAAUAUAGUGUCCCAGAGGCCAAGGGAACAGAGGGCUGGAGGGAUUGCUCAACAACGGCUAGUAGGGAAGUAAGAUAAGAGGCAGCUGGAAAAUGCCCACUGGAUUAAGUGACAUGGAGGGAGCUUUGUGGCUUUAGCAAGAGAUAUUUCAGUGGACUGAAGAGAGCAGAAGCUAGACUGAAGUGGACUGCGGUGGGGCUUGUAGGGAAGGGAAGGGAGUAAGUGAGCAGAAGCAACUUUCUAGAAGAGGUGGUAGAGCGGAAGUUUAUAGACAGGGAGUUGGCAAAUGUGGAGUCAGGGGGAUGGUUCUGGUUCAUUUAAUGGUUGCGUGUGAAUGGUUCCUGCCUGCGAAAGCCUGAGGAUUUCAUUGCAAGGGGAUGGUUAAAUAAAAGAGAGAUGUGACCGUCCAACCUCACCUACAGAAGAUCGGGAAGCAAAACAGGUUGCAGAGGGCAGAGGCUCCGGGAUUCCGCAGCUCCUGCUCUAGCCUGGAUUUUUUUGAACCUCAGUGACCUGCCCGAGGCCAGAUGCCCUGACCUGGAAUGCCUUCCAUCCCUCCUUUUCUUGGCAUCUCUCCUCCCUGCUGUCUGGCUUACCCUGAGCCCCUUUGCUACAGCCUGCUCAGCUGUUUUCUCAGCUUUGUUCACCCACUGUUAAGUUAUUAACUUGUCAGGGUCCAGACUCCCCACUUCCUUUCCCACUUGGAACCCACUGUUGGCUCCCUUCCUGUUCGCUGCCUCGCAAAGUCAGCAUUUGGAAGCCUGGGGUUAUUCGGCGGGUCAUUACUGGCAGCCACACAGAAGUACAAUUAAUGUAAUUGGUAUAGAAUGAUGAAGGCUUCUUAAAGAUGUUAACGCAACUGGAAAAGGAAUAAGAAACACAACCAUCUCUCCAUUAUCUUGAAGGUGGAGGCAAAUGCUAUCUUUCAGAUCAUUCAGAGCAUAAGGAUGGGCAUGUGAGGAGGCCUGGGGCUUUGACACUGCCCCUCCCUCUGGAGGGCGGAGGACCACUUAAGCUUUUAGCCGGGGAUCUGUGGGAAGCAAACAAGCCACACAGAAUAGAAAAAAAGGCUCCCUCCAUUGUUCCCUGAUCACUUCACCGUGGAUGUCAGACCAAACUGCCUUCUCACAGGACAUCUUGGUACAUCCGUGUUCUGGAGCAGAAAGGACAUUUGGCUUUUCUGUCGGGGGAUUGGUAGCUCCCAGGUGUCUGCAGCCGUGCUGUCUGGUUCUGCCCCUGGUCUCACUGAUGUAUGCAUGGGGUCCUCCGAAUGAUCAGCGGUUUACUUUCCAUGGAUACAACCUCUCCUCCAUUGGGAAUCGGUUUUACAAAUAAAUGUCUU